AUGGCAUACUCUCGGCCUUUGCGCCAUUGGCGCAACCAGUCAUCUAGUACAUAUAACAAAAGAGUUAACUUGAAGCACCCUAAUGACGCUGAUGAAUACUCUGGUGGUCACUUGGAUCCAUAUUUGCCGUACGGUGGUGACACUAAUAUACAAGAUAGCAGCUCUGAUGAGAAUUUGGACGCUGAGGAGAAGGAAGCUAGGCUGCAAGCUAAGGAGGAGGCUAGGGUAAAGCGUAUAUACGCGUGCCUUGAUGAUCCAACUUUUUUGGAGAAAAUGAGAAGGCGCUUCAAAGAUGAUCCGCGUGCCGAAGCUUUUUUUCAGCCCCAAAAAAGACAAGAUCCUCAGCAUGCAACACCAUUAGCGAACCAGCAGGGUGCAGUGCAAGACUGA
rnacentral:rRNA from 1 species